rnacentral:rRNA from 2 species
UGGGGAAUUUUGGACAAUGGGGGCAACCCUGAUCCAGCCAUGCCGCGUGCGGGAAGAAGGCCUUCGGGUUGUAAACCGCUUUUGUUCGGGAAGAAAUCCUCUGGGCUAAUACCCCGGGGGGAUGACGGUACCGGAAGAAUAAGCACCGGCUAACUACGUGCCAGCAGCCGCGGUAAUACGUAGGGUGCGAGCGUUAAUCGGAAUUACUGGGCGUAAAGCGUGCGCAGGCGGUUGUGCAAGACAGAUGUGAAAUCCCCGGGCUUAACCUGGGAACUGCAUUUGUGACUGCACGGCUAGAGUGCGGCAGAGGGGAGUGGAAUUCCGCGUGUAGCAGUGAAAUGCGUAGAUAUGCGGAGGAACACCGAUGGCGAAGGCAGCUCCCUGGGCCUGCACUGACGCUCAUGCACGAAAGCGUGGGGAGCAAACAGG